rnacentral:rRNA from 1 species
AGUCGAGGGGUAACAGGAGUAGCUUGCUAUUUGCUGACGACCGGCGCACGGGUGCGUAACGCGUAUAGAAUCUACCUUAUACUGGGGGAUAGCCUUUGGAAACGAAGAUUAAUACCCCAUAGUAUGUUUGAAUGGCAUCAUUUAGGCAUUAAAGUUUCGGCGGUAUAAGAUGACUAUGCGUUCUAUUAGUUAGUUGGUAAGGUAACGGCUUACCAAGACUACGAUAGAUAGGGGUCCUGAGAGGGAGAUCCCCCACACUGGUACUGAGACACGGACCAGACUCCUACGGGAGGCAGCAGUGAGGAAUAUUGGACAAUGGAGGCAACUCUGAUCCAGCCAUGCCGCGUGUAGGAAGACUGCCCUAUGGGUUGUAAACUACUUUUAUAUGGGAAGAAUAAGGUCUACGUGUAGACUGAUGACGGUACCAUAAGAAUAAGCACCGGCUAACUCCGUGCCAGCAGCCGCGGUAAUACGGAGGGUGCAAGCGUUAUCCGGAAUCAUUGGGUUUAAAGGGUCCGUAGGCGGGCGUAUAAGUCAGUGGUGAAAGUCUGUGGCUCAACCAUAGAAUUGCCAUUGAUACUGUAUGUCUUGAAUUAUUGUGAAGUGGUUAGAAUAUGUAGUGUAGCGGUGAAAUGCUUANAGAUUACAUAGAAUACCGAUUGCGAAGGCAGAUCACUAACAAUAUAUUGACGCUGAUGGACGAAAGCGUAGGUAGCGAACAGGAUUAGAUACCCUGGUAGUCUACGCCGUAAACGAUGGAUACUANUUGUUUGGCCUUNGNNCUGAGUGACUAANCGAAAGUGAUAAGUAUCCCNCCUGGGGAGUACGUUCGCAAGAAUGAAACUCAAAGGAAUUGACGGGGGCCC